GUCAUCCAGCCCGGGAACGGGGGUGGAGGCGAGGCCAGCGAGAAAGGGGGAGCAGGAGGGAGCGAGUCAGCUGGGCCAGGAAGGCGGAGAGAGCGCCGGGUGCCGGGCAGGGGCGCUCGCCUCUCGCGGGCUCGGCUCGCUUUUCCGGCCGCCGCCGAGGCCGUUUCUCUCUCCUGAUUGCCCUGUAACCCCGACCCCGGGAGAGCCGGGCGGACGGCAGAGCAUUCUGCGAGCUGCCCUUCAGCCGCUGGGCGCCACGAAAGCCGGCAGCGGCGACGGAGAGGCGAGCGCUGAGGACAGGCUUGCGCGCUCUGCAGCCCCACGUGGAGCCAAGCUCCGCCCGGCCGCCGCUACAGAGCUCCCGAGCUCGGGUGUCUCUCGGUGCCGGUCACCCCAGCUUCUGGGCUCGCGGGCUCAAGAGCACACGGAUGCGGCCGGAUCUCAGUCCACGCGUGCAGGGGGCUCCCUCUCCACGGUGCCCCACACGAAACCGUGCGCGGAGACCCAAACAAACCCCGCACACCAGUACGCGAACACGCGCCAGCACACUGGGAAAACACGUACACGCAAACACGUACACAGCCUGCGCGGCGCGCCCUGCCUGCACUCACUCGCCGAGGAGGACUCGUGAGGUUUGGAAAUGCAUUUAUCAGCCCUUUUCGAUCUCGUCUUCCAUCCGGAUUCGGGCUCUCGGGAUUACACCUGGAUGUGCGCGAGAGUGUAUAGGGGAAAAUGGAAAUUUGGACAAAACCCCUUGGUCGUCUCUCUCUCUCUCCGCCUCACUGCUCACUGCUCAACAAAAGACACACGGGAAACACUGAAUGAGCCUGCCCCUCGGAAGAGUCUGAAAGUGGUGCGUUAAGGGCAGGAGAAGCGAGAAGAGACCCACCUUUUGGAUCUCAGAGGGCCCACGGAAAUUUUGGUGUCCUCCAAAUAUUCCUCUCUACCUUUUGCAGAAAAAAGUUUUCACUUAAUUGUAGGCCUGAUUAUUUUCUUAAUUAAAAAAACCCACUUCUCUAUA